rnacentral:SRP_RNA from 1 species
UCCGGGUGCGGUAGCACGCGCCUGUAAUCCAAGCUACCGGGAGGCUGAGGCUGGCGGAGCGUUUGAGCUGAGCUGUAGUGGACUGUGCCGAUCGGGUGUCCGCACUAAGAUCGGUACAGGGAUCAGUAGGUCGUCUAAGGAGGGGUGCACCGGCCCAGGUCGGAGACGGAGCAGGUCAAAGCUCAGUAGUGUGCUCGCGCCUGUGAGCAGACGCUGUAGUGCAGCAUGAGUAAUACAGCGGAACCCAGUCUCUU